UACGGAGGGGGCUAGCGUUGUUCGGAAUUACUGGGCGUAAAGCGCACGUAGGCGGCGAUUUAAGUCAGGGGUGAAAGCCCAGUGCUCAACACUGGAACUGCCCUUGAGACUGGAUUGCUAGAAUCACGGAGAGGUGGGUGGAAUUCCGAGUGUAGAGGUGAAAUUCGUAGAUAUUCGGAAGAACACCAGUGGCGAAGGCGGCCCACUGGACGUGUAUUGACGCUGAGGUGCGAAAGCGUGGGGAGCAAAC
rnacentral:rRNA from 1 species